rnacentral:lncRNA from 1 species
GGCACCGCGACGCAAUGUAGUUACAAACAUCUUCAUACUACACCAAUUAUAGUUAACUCUUCAUAUCUUUGUACCCUUUGGUCUUCCCGAUGCGUAGAGAAACACGAGUGAUAUGUUUGCUGUAAGAUUCCUUUUCUUAUCAACUUAUCGUCCAACACACAAACUCGGUUUCAGUACAAGUAUAUCCUGCUCAAAGCUGUAUGAUAUCCAAUACUCCCAAUCUCGAUCUGUUCAACCAAAUCCAUAAUGCUAACUCGUGCUUGUGUAUCCUCCAUAGCAAAACUGCCUGCUCCAAACCUUAAGGUCAUAUGUCUUUCCUUUGACAGUAAUAACACACAAUCUGAGAUUAGCAAAUCUCCAACUCAUGAACCUUCUUGGUUCCUGGGAUACAGCUCAUACGCCUACCCAAGGCAUUUAUCACCUGGUUGUCCUUACCAGAUAGUAUGCGAUAUCCAGACUAUAGCCUGUUACAAACUCAAUCCAACUGCACUGCCCAAGUACAAGUUUUUAAUAAAUGAAGAUAAAUUUCACAUUCUAAUAAUCCCAGAGAAUCUGAACUUCCUUCCCGUACAAUUACGAUCUCCAAAACGAUAACGCAAAUACCACUACAGCCUCUCUGGCGUGAUGCAUAUGAAUGACUUAAUCCUCAUACCUUAAUUUAAAUCCAAUCCAGUAUCUGACACAUCACA